UCCAGACUCCUACGGGAGGCAGCAGUGGGGGAUAUUGCACAAUGGGGGAAACCCUGAUGCAGCAACGCCGCGUGAGUGAAGAAGUAUUUCGGUAUGUAAAGCUCUAUCAGCAGGGAAGAGAAUGACGGUACCUGACUAAGAAGCCCCGGCUAACUACGUGCCAGCAGCCGCGGUAAUACGUAGGGGGCGAGCGUUAUCCGGAUUUACUGGGUGUAAAGGGAGCGUAGACGGCUGGUCAAGUCUGAAGUGAAAGCCCGGGGCUUAACCCCGGAACGGCUUUGGAAACUGAGCAGCUAGAGUGCUGGAGAGGUAAGCGGAAUUCCUAGUGUAGCGGUGAAAUGCGUAGAUAUUAGGAGGAACACCAGUGGCGAAGGCGGCUUACUGGACAGUAACUGGCGUUGAGGCUCGAAAGCGUGGGGAGCAAACGGGAUUAGAUACCCUGGUAAA
rnacentral:rRNA from 1 species